rnacentral:rRNA from 1 species
UGGUGCAUGGUUGUCGUCAGCUCGUGUCGUGAGAUGUUGGGUUAAGUCCCGCAACGAGCGCAACCCUUAUUGUUACGUUGCCAUCAUUAAGUUGGGCACUCUAACGAGACUGCCGGUGACAAACCGGAGGAAGGUGGGAUGACAUCAAUCAUCAUGCCCUUAUGUCUUGGGCUACACACGUGCUACAAUGGCCGGUACAAAGGGCUGCAAGACCGUGAGGUUGAGCGAAUCCCAGAAAGCCGGUCUCAGUUCGGAUUGGAGUCUGCAACUCGACUCCAUGAAGUUGGAAUCGCUAGUAAUCGCGGAUCAGCAUGCCGCGGUGAAUACGUUCCCGGGCCUU